rnacentral:rRNA from 1 species
UGCCAGACUCCUACGGGAGGCAGCAGUGAGGAAUAUUGGUCAAUGGGCGGGAGCCUGAACCAGCCAAGUCGCGUGAGGGAAGACGGUCCUACGGAUUGUAAACCUCUUUUGCCGGGGAGCAACGGGGUCCUUGCGAGGGCCCAAUGAGAGUACCCGGAGAAAAAGCAUCGGCUAACUCCGUGCCAGCAGCCGCGGUAAUACGGAGGAUGCGAGCGUUAUCCGGAUUUAUUGGGUUUAAAGGGUGCGCAGGCGGUCUGUUAAGUCGGCGUUCAAGGCCCGGGACCCAACCCCGGCCCGCGUUGAAACUGGCAGUCUCGAGUUGGAGAGAAGUAUGCGGAAUGCGCGGUGUAGCGGUGAAAUGCAUAGAUAUCGCGCAGAACUCCGAUUGCGAAGGCAGCAUGCCGGCUCCACACUGACGCUGAGGCACGAAAGCGUGGGUAUCGAACAGGAUUAGAUACCCUCGUAA